rnacentral:lncRNA from 1 species
CGCCCGCGACUCCGGCUAUAGGCAGACUUCAUCCAGACUCCCACGGGAGCUGGACUCGGUCCCCGACUUCAACUGCUGGUUAGCUCCGUCCGAACUCCUAAGGGAGCCGAACUUCGCCCCUGACUUUGAUUGCAGGUAGACCUCGCCCGGGCUCCUACAGGAGCCAGACCUCGUCUCUGACCCCAACUGCGGGAAGACUCCGUCCGGACUCUCACGGGAGCCAGACCUCGUCCCUAACUUCGGC